rnacentral:lncRNA from 1 species
GCUAGGUCCAUCAGUGAGUCCCACCAUAGGUCCUGACUCCAUCCCUGGGUCCCACCAUGAACUUCAGGUCCAUCCGUGGGUCACGCUAUGGGUCUUGAGCCCAACUCUGGGGCGCAGCAUGAUUAGUAGAUCAUAAUGUAGGUCCUUCAAGGGGUGCUGGGUCCAUCCCUGGGUCCCACCACGAGCUUCAGGUCCAUGCCUGGGUCACGCUACGGGUGCUGGGUCCCUGUAUGGGUCACAACAUGCUUAGUAGAUGACAAUGUAGGUUGUGUUAUGGGUCUUGGGUCCAUCUCUGGGUCACAACAUGAUUAGUUAGAUCAUGACAUAGAUCAUGUUAUGGGUCUUGGGUCCAUCCCUGGGUCCCACCAUGAGCUUCAGGUCCAUGCCUGGGUCAUGCUAUGGGUCUUGGGUCCAUCUCUGGGGCGCAACAUGCUUAGUAGAUGACAGUUUAGGUCGUGUUAUGGGUGCUGG